GAACAUGAUCCUUAGGCUGCCUCUGGGCACAGGAGCCGGGCCAGGAAAGCAGCUGGCAGCCCGGCCUACAUCGGCUCCACUGAGCCUUGUGAACGCUUAGACUAGUUUUCAUUCAAAAAUGGGUGGUUGCUCUGCUGGAUUCCGGAGCCUACUGUGUUUACGUGGUUGCCGCAGCAACACAAUUCCAAGCCAGCCCAAGGCCACUGGUCAUUCCUGCUCCUGACCAGGUCAGGGACAGAAGCAGCUCCAGGGCUCUCCUGCUUGAUGGCUCUUGGUGGGGCAAGACUUUGGCUUCCACCAAGCUCUCCAGCAUCAUCAGCACAUCCACCGUGGGGCUGAGAUCCAUGUCCGGAGGGCUCAGACGUGUGAGGAGGGGGUGUCUGUGUUCCCGCCGUGUAGGCAGCCCAACAGAGGAAGCCCCUGCUCCUGAACCGGCCAGGCAGGACCCCAAAAAGCCAAUGCGCUGCUGCCACAAACAUUUCCGACAGCCAAGCAAAACCCAGGUCCCUGCCCUCAAGAAGCCUCCAGUCUAAACCCACAGCAUUUCCAAUCUACAGAGAAAAGGGAGGGAGAGGACACAAGGGUAGGAAGUGACAAACGGAAUGAAAAAGCGGGACCGUUCAUACUUCCUUCGCCUUUCAGGGGAUGCGGAGGACUUGGGGGUGAUGAAGGAGAAGGUGGGGGGGAACUCCAGGCACACAGAGAACCCUAAGCAGAUCCUAUCUGGCCCUGCCGUCUUUAGGCUGUUGGGAGUUCUCUUCCCCCAAAGCAACUUCUCCCAGCUCUGAGAGUGACUCAAGAUGGCUGGGCUGUUGUGGGUCUCCUCUCAUCAGCUCUUCAGAGACAUGGACUGGUGCUCCUUUGGCACCCGAGUUCCAAGUAAGCCCUGAAGCUCUUCCAGAUUGUGGCCAGUCCACUGUGGCUCAUUCCAGCGAAGCAUCUCUCCCCUGAAGAAGGAGGUUUUAGGACAGAAAAUAUGUUCAGGAUCACCAGUGCUUUCUUGGGAAGCUCUCAGGUUGGCUGCCAGGUGACAUGAGGAACUGAGGGAGUCCUGUGAACAUUCACCUUUCGCUGUAUCUGUCUGGGGGUCGUGGUGGGAGACUUUAGUCUUGGAUUGCCUACUUCAGAUUGGCAGCAGUUCUCCAAAAUGUCCCCUCCACAAUCUUUCAGAAAUGGAGAUCCCAGGUUCAGGAAAUCCCUCCUCUAUUCCUAAAGGUGAUCAUGCCCUACCUAUAGAGCUCAUAAAAGUUACUUUUUUGGAUUACAGUUCCCCAACCUCAUUGCCAGUCUGGUUUGGGAAUACUAGGAAUCUUUGUCCAAAAAAGAGAGUAACUUUUAGAAGCUAUAGAUAUGUAGUGAUCAUUUCUGUUGGUUGAUUCCUGGAGCUCAGUGCUUAUGAAUUGCUGGAGAGCAAAGAAUGGGAGGUAGUGGUGGACUGCAUGGUCUGCUUGAGGCUUUCAUGGAGAACUUCUGGAAACAAGAGUCAGGGCUAGUUGGUGGAGCCCUGGUUUCAUCCCGUGAUGCUCUUAUGCCCUCAAGUUUCUGACCUGUUGUGUCUUCUCAUCUGAGUCUCACUGAGCAACAACAGGAGCACAAGCAGGAACAGCCACCACAUGAGACCAGUCUGGUGAAGUCUGCAGCAUGCUGGGAAUCAAUGAACAUGGAAGCCCCAGAGAGCAGACAGAGCAGCUUUGAGGACUUGGUUUCUGACUAGAGAUCGCCAUGAACCAAACUACGAACUAAAAAUAACCACGAACCAGGCUGGUUUGUGGCUCAGUUUGUGCAAGUCAUUUUGCCAAAAUAAAACAAAUCACCACACUUUUUUCACUUGGCGCUUUAUUUUGCUUCAACUAAAUGGAUUGCCCCACUCCCACCCCCUUCCCGUUGCUCCUGUUGCCCUCCUAG